UACGUAGGGCGCAAGCGUUGUCCGGAAUUAUUGGGCGUAAAGAGCUCGUAGGCGGUCUGUCGCGUCUGCCGUGAAAACCCGAGGCUUAACCUCGUGGCUUGCGGUGGAUACGGGCAGACUAGAGGUAGGUAGGGGAGAAUGGAAUUCCCGGUGUAGCGGUGAAAUGCGCAGAUAUCGGGAGGAACACCGGUGGCGAAGGCGGGUCUCUGGGCAGUAACUGACGCUGAGGAGCGAAAGCGUGGGGAGCGAACAGG
rnacentral:rRNA from 1 species